rnacentral:rRNA from 1 species
GUGGGGAAUCUUCCGCAAUGGACGAAAGUCUGACGGAGCGACGCCGCGUGAGUGAAGAAGGCCUUCGGGUUGUAAAGUACUUUCAGCGGGGAGGAAGGCGAUAAGGUUAAUAACCUUGUCGAUUGACGUUACCCGCAGAAGAAGCACCGGCUAACUCCGUGCCAGCAGCCGCGGUAAUACGGAGGGUGCAAGCGUUAAUCGGAAUUACUGGGCGUAAAGCGCACGCAGGCGGUCUGUCAAGUCGGAUGUGAAAUCCCCGGGCUCAACCUGGGAACUGCAUUCGAAACUGGCAGGCUAGAGUCUUGUAGAGGGGGGUAGAAUUCCAGGUGUAGCGGUGAAAUGCGUAGAGAUCUGGAGGAAUACCGGUGGCGAAGGCGGCCCCCUGGACAAAGACUGACGCUCAGGUGCGAAAGCGUGGGGAGCAAACAGGAUUAGAUACCCGAGUAGUCC